CGGAGGGAUCAUUAAAGAGUUUUAUAACUCCCAAACCCAUGUGAACAUACCUAACGUUGCCUCGGCAGGUCGCACCUACCUUGUAGCACCCUACCCUGUAGGGCCUACCCGGGAGGUGCGGGUAAGCCUGCCGGCGGCCCACCAAACUCUGUUUGAUAUUGAAUUCUGAACCUAUAACUAAAUAAGUUAAAACUUUCAACAACGGAUCUCUUGGUUCUGGCAUCGAUGAAGAACGCAGCGAAAUGCGAUAAGUAAUGUGAAUUGCAGAAUUCAGUGAAUCAUCGAAUCUUUGAACGCAUAUUGCGCCCAUUAGUAUUCUAGUGGGCAGGACCGUUCGAGCGUCAUUUCAACCCUUAAGCCUUCGUUGCUUAGUGUUGGGAGCCUACGGCAACGUAGCUCCUCAAAGUUAGUGGCGGAGUUGGUUCACACUCUAGACGUAGUAAUUUUUUAUCUCGCCUAUUAGUUGGACUAAUCCCCUGCCGUAAAACCCCCAAUUUAUCAAGGUUGACCUCGAAUCGGUUCAGACAAACUCGCUAAAUUGAAGCAUCUUAGUCAGCGAAGGAAAAGAAACCAACAGGGAUUGCCCUAGUAACGGCGAGUGAAGCGGCAACAGCUCAAAUUUGAAAUCUGGCCCUCGGGUCCGAG
rnacentral:rRNA from 1 species